CCGGCGCACGGGUGAGUAACGCGUAUGCAACUUGCCUAUCAGAGGGGAACAGCCCGGCGAAAGUCGGAUUAAUGCCCCAUAAAACAGGGAUCCCGCAUGGGGUUAUUUGUUAAAGAUUCAUCGCUGAUAGAUAGGCAUGCGUUCCAUUAGCUUGUUGGCGGGGUAACGGCCCACCAAGGCAUCGAUGGAUAGGGGUUCUGAGAGGAAGGUCCCCCACAUUGGAACUGAGACACGGUCCAAACUCCUACGGGAGGCAGCAG
rnacentral:rRNA from 1 species